CCUUAGAUAACACGUGAGUAACCUGCCCCGAACUCUGGGAUAAGCGCUGGAAACGGCGUCUAAUACUGGAUAUGUCCUAUCACCGCAUGGUGUGUAGGUGGAAAGAAUUUCGGUUCGGGAUGGACUCGCGGCCUAUCAGCUAGAUGGUGAGGUAAUGGCUCACCAUGGCGACGACGGGUAGCCGGCCUGAGAGGGUGACCGGCCACACUGGGACUGAGACACGGCCCAGACUCCUACGGGAGGCAGCAGUGGGGAAUAUUGCACAAUGGGCGCAAGCCUGAUGCAGCAACGCCGCGUGAGGGAUGACGGCCUUCGGGUUGUAAACCUCUUUUAGUAGGGAAGAAGCGCAAGUGACGGUACCUGCAGAAAAAGCACCGGCUAACUACGUGCCAGCAGCCGCGGUAAUACGUAGGGUGCAAGCGUUGUCCGGAAUUAUUGGGCGUAAAGAGCUCGUAGGCGGCUUGUCGCGUCUGCUGUGAAAACCAGAGGCUCAACCUCUGGCCUGCAGUGGGUACGGGCAAGCUAGAGUGCGGUAGGGGAGAUUGGAAUUCCUGGUGUAGCGGUGGAAUGCGCAGAUAUCAGGAGGAACACCGAUGGCGAAGGCAGAUCUCUGGGCCGUAACUGACGCUGAGGAGCGAAAGCAUGGGGAGCGAACAGGAUUAGAUACCCUGGUAGUCCAUGCCGUAAACGUUGGGAACUAGAUGUAGGGCCUGUUCCACGGGUUCUGUGUCGUAGCUAACGCAUUAAGUUCCCCGCCUGGGGAGUACGGGCCGCAAGGCUUAAAACUCAAAGGAAUUGACGGGGGCCCCGCACAAGCGGCCGGA
rnacentral:rRNA from 1 species